UGGGGAAUAUUGGACAAUGGGGGGAACCCUGAUCCAGCCAUGCCGCGUGUGUGAAGAAGGCCUUUUGGUUGUAAAGCACUUUAAGCGAGGAGGAGGCUACUCUAGUUAAUACCUAGGGAUAGUGGACGUUACUCGCAGAAUAAGCACCGGCUAACUCUGUGCCAGCAGCCGCGGUAAUACAGAGGGUGCAAGCGUUAAUCGGAUUUACUGGGCGUAAAGCGCGCGUAGGUGGCCAAUUAAGUCAAAUGUGAAAUCCCCGAGCUUAACUUGGGAAUUGCAUUCGAUACUGGUUGGCUAGAGUAUGGGAGAGGAUGGUAGAAUUCCAGGUGUAGCGGUGAAAUGCGUAGAGAUCUGGAGGAAUACCGAUGGCGAAGGCAGCCAUCUGGCCUAAUACUGACACUGAGGUGCGAAAGCAUGGGGAGCAAACAGG
rnacentral:rRNA from 3 species